AGCUGUUACCGUAAAUUCAAUGAGGAGAAAACUUGGUAUGAGAGCAGAAGAGACUGUCAAGAGAAAGGAGCAGAUCUGGUGAUCAUAAACAACAAAGAGGAACAGAAAUUUGUCGUUGAGCUGAACAAGGGUGGAGACUCCUGGAUUGGUCUACGGGUACAAACAGGAAGGAAAUGGGAAUGGGUGGACGACUCGCCGCUGAGAGAAUCGUGAGAAGUUUUAAAAGUUGUUUGUUUCCAUCACAAUUCCAUUUGUUAAUAAGAUAAGUAUGUUUUUAAAAUUAGGAUGAAAACAACAACAAAAAUCACAUUAAUUUACAGAACUGAAUUAUGAGCUAAAAACAUUAUUAAAAGUUAAAUUGUCAUUUAUUACUGCCAAUAAAAAUAUUUCAAGUGAAAUCCAACAGCUUCCUUCAAAUUGAAAAUAAUCAGGAGUGACAACAUUUUAUUUCUCCUACAGGUUCUGGGCAUCAGGACACCCGCACAGCAACUAUUAUUACGCUGCAUGCUGCGAUAAACAAGGAAAUUGGACGAGCAGAUUUAAUGAUCAGAAGAACUGGAUCUGUGAGAAAUAGAUUUCCUGUUUAUCUUGAGGACAGAGGGGUGUGUAGUGUUGGGAUCAACUUUGUCAAAUCAGACCAACUCACAUUUUACAUUUCUUCAGUUGUUCAUUCUGUGUUGCAUCCUGAACAACCUGGAUUACAUAGAUAUUGUUCCUCUGCCCUACACAGUGAACAGUCUGGUUGGAAGUCAUCCACACAACUACAUGUGCACUUACCCUCUCUGCAGAGAGGGAUAUUACAACAGCCUGUUUUCAAAAAGCCUAAGAUGUCACAUACAUGACAACAAGGGGAAAGACGGCUCCUUUCUGUUUCAGUGUUAUUUAAGCCAUUAUCAUAAAGGACAAACCUCAUAGGCUUCUUCCACAGACCACUUACUGAUGUAGUUACACUUGGGAGGAGGAAAGAUUAUGAAUGUGUUUUGGAGAGAAGAAUACACCUGAUUUUGAAUCAGAUUUCAAUCCAUCUUUCAUGCUUAGUUGCAUUUAUACUUGGGCUGUUUUGCUAAUCAAAAGAUAUCAAAUCCACACAAGAUGCAUGAACUGAUAAUAAGUCACCUCCCCUGUAUGUGUGUCAGUAAGGAUGAUAUUCAAUCAUCUCUUUUGUUUUCUUCAUAAAAUUACAAGAGAACAGUUAUGUGUUUAACAUCUUAGGUUUAUUAUCAUCAUUGAACCAUUAAAAUUUCAUGUCAUUUCAUCUACUAGGCAGAACAAAAAUAACUGGUCAACACAUCACAUUUCCUGUGUCAGAGAUGCAUGUGUGAAUAAACUAUAUGGAGAACAUGAAUGCAGCUUUGCACAAAUGUGUGAAUGUGAGCACAAACCUGCUGUUGAGUGAAAACCAUAUACUUCCUCAGUGUCACUGACAAAAAACAUCUUUAUGUUUCAGCUUUAAAUAUAGUUUUAUGUAGUUUAUGCCUCAAUUAAAGUCAAGUCUUCAAUAAUACAUAUGUUGUGGUGUCCAUCUGUGUCAGUGGUGAGUCCUGCUGUUACUUCCUCUUUUGAAAGCUGCCCAACCCAAAGACAAACAAGCAGACAGUGAAGCUGUUCACUAAGUUUUCAGUGUUUCAAAAUGUCUGCAAGGAUUCUCACUGCACCAGAUUCAAGCUUGAAUGUGAGAUAUACCGGAAGAGUUCAAGACAACAGAGGAGCGGGAGAGGAGAAUCAGCUGGAGAUCUCAGAGGAUGAAAAGCAUCACGCUGAUCCUGGGUCACAAAAAGCAAGACCUCAGACUCCAAAGAAUCGUGUCAGAAGAAGGUGUUUUACUGCAGCGACUCUGGGAGUGAUGUAUCUUCUGAUAUUGGCUGGAGUCUUCAUACGCUGUGAGGAAUUAUGUUUUAAAUCCAA